CGCGGAAAUCGAAAAGUCGAUUUCGGUGCGUUUUUCGACGAAAUUCGCCGAAAGAACGCGAUUUCGAUUCAGAUUUCUUCCGACGUCGUUUAGUUGCUUUGUUAGUUAUUGCUGAGCCUUGUUGGCUGGUCACCGUCAUCAUUUUGUGGGUUCGGUGAUGAUGGGUGAGCGACGGUGGGUUCCGGUGUCGAAAUAGAACUUUCGGGAACCCAGAUUCGUACAAUU
rnacentral:lncRNA from 1 species